rnacentral:rRNA from 2 species
GACGAACCGUGCGAACGUUGUUCGGAAUCACUGGGCUUAAAGGGCGCGUAGGCGGGCUGGCAAGUCAGGGGUGAAAGCCCACGGCUCAACCGUGGAAGUGCCUUUGAUACUGCCGGCCUGGAGGGAGGUAGGGGCGUGCGGAACUUCCGGUGGAGCGGUGAAAUGCGUAGAUAUCGGAAGGAACACCGGUGGCGAAAGCGGCGCGCUGGACCUCUUCUGACGCUGAGGCGCGAAAGCCAGGGGAGCAAACGGG